GUCAGAGGCGAUGAAGGACGUGCUAAUCUGCGAAAAGCGUCGGUAAGGUGAUAUGAACCGUUAUAACCGGCGAUGUCCGAAUGGGGAAACCCAGUGUGAUUCGUCACACUAUCGUUAACUGAAUACAUAGGUUAACGAGGCGAACCGGGGGAACUGAAACAUCUAAGUACCCCGAGGAAAAGAAAUCAACCGAGAUUCCCCC
rnacentral:rRNA from 1 species